rnacentral:rRNA from 1 species
GAGUUUGAUCAUGGCUCAGAUUGAACGCUAGCGGGAUGCCUUACACAUGCAAGUCGAACGGCAGCACGGACUUCGGUCUGGUGGCGAGUGGCGAACGGGUGAGUAAUGUAUCGGAACGUGCCCAGUAGCGGGGGAUAACUACGCGAAAGCGUAGCUAAUACCGCAUACGCCCUAUGGGGGAAAGCAGGGGAUCGUAAGACCUUGCACUAUUGGAGCGGCCGAUAUCGGAUUAGCUAGUUGGUGGGGUAACGGCUCACCAAGGCGACGAUCCGUAGCUGGUUUGAGAGGACGACCAGCCACACUGGGACUGAGACACGGCCCAGACUCCUACGGGAGGCAGCAGUGGGGAAUUUUGGACAAUGGGGGAAACCCUGACCCAGCCAUCCCGCGUGUGCGAUGAAGGCCUUCGGGUUGUAAAGCACUUUUGGCAGGAAAGAAACGUCAUGGGUUAAUACCCCGUGAAACUGACGGUACCUGCAGAAUAAGCACCGGCUAACUACGUGCCAGCAGCCGCGGUAAUACGUAGGGUGCAAGCGUUAAUCGGAAUUACUGGGCGUAAAGCGUGCGCAGGCGGUUCGGAAAGAAAGAUGUGAAAUCCCAGAGCUUAACUUUGGAACUGCAUU